GACGAACGCUGGCGGCGUGCUUAACACAUGCAAGUCGAGCGGUAAGGCCCUUUCGGGGGUACACGAGCGGCGAACGGGUGAGUAACACGUGGGUGACCUGCCCUCAGCUCUGGGAUAAGCCUGGGAAACCGGGUCUAAUACCGGAUAUGACUCCAUGACGCAUGUUGUGGGGUGGAAAGCCUUGUGCGGCUGAGGAUGGGCCCGCGGCCUAUCAGCUUGUUGGUGGGGUGAUGGCCUACCAAGGCGACGACGGGUAGCCGGCCUGAGAGGCGACCGGCCACACUGGGACUGAGACACGGCCCAGACUCCUACGGGAAGCAGCAGUGGGGAAUCUUGCGCAAUGGGCGAAAGCCUGACGCAGCGACGCCGCGUGAGGGAUGACGGCCUGGUGUAACUAC
rnacentral:rRNA from 1 species